UGUUAUCGAAAUAGACAUCGGUACAACGGGCGGCGACUCCUACUUGGCCCAUCAUCAAGUGGACAACCACGUGCUGUUCCCUGCCAGUGGCAUCUUGAUGCUGGCGUGGAAGUCUCUCACUAAACGGUGCGGGAAGCCCUUGGAAACGGUGCCGGUCAGUUUUUGAGAACGUCCUCCUUCUACCGAAAAAUAAUCCUGACAGAAAAAGGCAGCACCCGCUUCCGGGUAAACAUCAUGCGCUCAUCCGGCGACUUCGAGGUGCACGAGGCGGGAAUCUUGGUAGCGAGUGGUCGCAUUCACAUAGCCGAAGACGAAUGCUCUGCUUUUCACAAGGGUUUGCCAGUGGCACCACCUGAAACCUUGCUUUACGAGCUCAAUUCUGAAGAUAUCUACAAAGAGUUAAAGCUCCGUGGCUACGAAUACCGCAGCUCCUUCAAAGGCAUCGUCAAGGCGGACGUAGAGGGCCCUUAUGGGAAGCUUAGCUGGCAAGGCAACUGGGUGACCUUCAUCGAGAGUAUGUUUCAAUUUACCAUCUUCAAGAGUCAACAUCGCAACCUCAUCUUGCCAGUAGGAAUCGAGUACUGCCGCAUUGAACCGCAAGUUCAAUCAUUGAUUC